rnacentral:misc_RNA from 1 species
GAUGAAGAACGUAGCGAAAUGCGAUAAGUAAUGUGAAUUGCAGAAUUCAGUGAAUCAUCGAAUCUUUGAACGCACAUUGCGCCCGCCAGUAUUCUGGCGGGCAUGCCUGUUCGAGCGUCAUUUCAACCAUCAAGCCCUGCUUGCGUUGGGGUCCUGCGGCUGCCCGCAGGCCCUGAAAACCAGUGGCGGGCUCGCUAGUCACACCGAGCGCAGUAAUACAUCUCGCUUUGGGCGUGCGGCGGGUUCUUGCCGUUAAACACCCCCUUUUUACCAAGGUUGACCUCGGAUCAGGUAGGAAUACCCGCUGAACUUAAGCAUAUCAAAGCGGAGGA